UGUGUUCAAGUUUUUUAGGGCAUACGGUGGAUGCCUUGGCAUCAGGAGCCGAUGAAGGACGUGGGAGCCUGCGAUAUGCCUCGGGGAGUCGGCAACCAGACUGUGAUCCGGGGAUUUCCGAAUGGGGAAACCUGGCACCCGUCAUGGGGUGUCGCCGCCGCCUGAAUGUAUAGGGCGGCUGGUGGGAACGCGGGGAAGUGAAACAUCUCAGUACCCGCAGGAAGAGAAAACAAUUGUGAUUCCGUGAGUAGUGGUGAGCGAAAGCGGAGGAGCCUAAACCGUGCGCGUGUGAUAACCGGCAGGUGUUGCGUGUGCGGGGUUGUGGGACCAUCCGGUCAGUGCUGCCGCGCUGGCAAAGAGUUACAAAACAUCGUGAUAGUCGAACGGCAUGGGAAGGCCGGCCAUAGACGGUGAGAGUCCGGUAGGCGAAAUCAUGAUGUCUCUUGGGUGUGUUCCCGAGUAGCACGGGGCCCGUGAAAUCCCGUGUGAAUCUGCCACGACCACGUGGUAAGGCUGAAUACUUCCUGAUGACCGAUAGCGGACCAGUACCGUGAGGGAAAGGUGAAAAGUGCCCCGGUGAGGGGUCGUGAAAUAGUACCUGAAACCGUGUGCCUACAAGCCGUCAGAGCGUCCUCAAUGUCCCGCUUGCCGGGGUGUUGUUCGUGAUGGCGUGCCUUUUGAAGAAUGAGCCUGCGAGUUAUGGUGUGUGGCGAGGUUAACCGGUGGCGGGUAGCCGUAGCGAAAGCGAGUCUGAAGAGGGCGUUUUUAGUCGCAUGCUGUAGACCCGAAGCGGGGUGAUCUAGCCAUGGGCAGGGUGAAGCGCCGGUAAGACGGUGUGGAGGCCCGAACCCACCAGGGUUGAAAACCUGGGGGAUGACCUGUGGUUAGGGGUGAAAGGCCAAUCAAACUCCGUGAUAGCUGGUUCUCCCCGAAAUGCAUUUAGGUGCAGCGUUGCGUGUUUCUUGCCGGAGGUAGAGCUACUGGAUGGCUGAGGGGCCCUACAAGGUUACUGACGUCAGCCAAACUCCGAAUGCCGGUAAGUGAGAGCGUGGCAGUGAGACUGCGGGGGAUAAGCUUCGUAGUCGAGAGGGAAACAGCCCAGAUCAUCGGUUAAGGCCCCUAAGCGUGUGCUAAGUGGGAAAGGAUGUGGAGUUGCCGUGACAACCAGGAGGUUGGCUUAGAAGCAGCCAUCCUUGAAAGAGUGCGUAAUAGCUCACUGGUCAAGUGAUUCCGCGCCGACAAUGUAGCGGGGCUCAAGCACACCGCCGAAGCCGUGGCACUGCAUCCCUGUGUGGGGUGUGGUGGGUAGGGGAGCGUCCUGCAGCCGGUGAAGCCGCCGGGUGACCGAGUGGUGGAGGCUGCGGGAGUGAGAAUGCAGGCAUGAGUAGCGAAUCACACGUGGGAAACGUGUGCGCCGGAUGACCAAGGGUUCCUGGGGCAGGCUAAUCCGCCCAGGGUAAGUCGGGACCUAAGGCGAGGCCGACAGGCGUAGUCGAUGGACAACGGGUUGAUAUUCCCGUACCCGCUGGUAUGCGCCAACGCCGAACCCUCUGAUGCUAACCACCCGAACCGUUGCCGGGGCCUUCGGGCCUGGGUGGUGGGGAGCGUGGGGCCCGAGGGGGUAGUAGGUGAGUGAUGGGGUGACGCAGGAGGGUAGCUCAGCCCAGGCGAUGGUUGUCCUGGGGUAAGCAUGUAGCCCGGUGUGCAGGUAAAUCCGCGCGCCAUACAAGGGUGAGAUGUGAUGCCGAGCCGUUUUAGGUGAAGUGAGUGAUCCCAUGCUGCCGAGAAAAGCCUCUAGCGAGUGUACCGGCGGCCCGUACCCUAAACCGACUCAGGUGGUCAGGUAGAGAAUACCAAGGCGAUCGGGUGAACUGUGGUUAAGGAACUCGGCAAAUUGCCCCCGUAACUUUGGGAGAAGGGGGACCUGGCCUGGUGAGGGGAUUUACUUCCUGAGCUGGGCGGGGUCGCAGAGGCCAGGGGGAAGCGACUGUUUACUAAAAACACAGGUCCGUGCGAAGUCGUAAGACGCUGUAUACGGACUGACGCCUGCCCGGUGCCGGAACGUUAAGAGGACCGGUGAGACCCCUUUUUGGGGGUCGAGGCUGAGAAUCUAAGCGCCGGUAAACGGCGGUGGUAACUAUAACCAUCCUAAGGUAGCGAAAUUCCUUGUCGGGUAAGUUCCGACCUGCACGAAUGGCGUAACGACUUCCCCGCUGUCUCAACCACAGGCCCGGCGAAAUUGCAGUACGAGUAAAGAUGCUCGUUUCGCGCAGCAGGACGGAAAGACCCCGGGACCUUCACUAUAGCUUGGCAUUGGCGCCUGAAGCGUCUUGUGUAGGAUAGGUGGGAGACUGUGAAGCCCAGACGCCAGUUUGGGUGGAGUCGCUGGUGAAAUACCACUCUGGUCGUUUUGAGCGUCUAACCCGCACCCGUGGAUCCGGGUGGGGGACAGUGCCUGGUGGGUAGUUUAACUGGGGCGGUUGCCUCCUAAAGUGUAACGGAGGCGCCCAAAGGUUCCCUCAGCCUGGUUGGCAAUCAGGUGGCGAGUGCAAGGGCACAAGGGAGCUUGACUGUGAGACGGACGUGUCGAGCAGGUGCGAAAGCAGGGCCUAGUGAUCCGGCACCGACGUGUGGAAGUGGUGUCGCUCAACGGCUAAAAGGUACCCCGGGGAUAACAGGCUGAUCUUCCCCAAGAGUCCAUAUCGACGGGAUGGUUUGGCACCUCGAUGUCGGCUCGUCGCAUCCUGGGGCUGGAGUAGGUCCCAAGGGUUGGGCUGUUCGCCCAUUAAAGCGGCACGCGAGCUGGGUUUAGAACGUCGCGAGACAGUUCGGUCCCUAUCCGCUGCGCGCGCAGGAGAAUUGAGAGGGUCUGUCCCUAGUACGAGAGGACCGGGACGGACGAACCUCUGGUGUGCCAGUUGUCCCGCCAGGGGCACGGCUGGUUGGCUACGUUCGGCAGGGAUAACCGCUGAAAGCAUCUAAGCGGGAAGCCUUCCUCGAGAUGAGUUCUCCCUCCCGCUUUCGGGUGGGGUAAGGCUCCCGGUAGACGACCGGGUUGAUAGGCCGGAGAUGGAAGCGCGGUAACGUGUGGAGUCGACCGGUACUAAUAGGCCGAGUGGCUUGAACACAC
rnacentral:rRNA from 1 species